UCACAUGGCCUUGUCCCUGGCCAACUCUUCACAGUGACAACUACUCUUCACCAGCACAAUGCCCUUCACCUUGCCUAUAAAUUCAGGGAGCGGCAAAGCUCAAUACCAUCACUUCAUCAGCUAAUCCACCACCAACUGAGCACUACAACACCCAUAGCUCACUUUCUCUGGAGAGUGACAGCCAAAGAAUAUGAAGAAUGCUGCACCUCUGGAGUGGUAAGGGGCCACUGCAUCAUGUACACGGCCGACAGAAGCCGUUUCGAGGUCCCGUUGGUGUACCUCAGCACGAUGGUCUUUGGAGAGCUCCUAAGAGUGUCCCAGGAAGAGUUUGGUUUCGCAAGCAAUGGAAAGAUCACACUGCCUUGUGAUGCCGCAGUGAUGGAGUAUGUCAUGUGCUUGCUCAGCAGAGAUGCCUCUGCCGAGGUCGAGAAGGCAUUGCUGAGUUCUAUGGUGAUAUCUUGCCACUACAUUGUUUCUGUGAUGCCAACUGUUGGAGACAGCCAGAAAAUUUGCUUUUCGUAA
rnacentral:rRNA from 1 species